CCGAGUUUACAACUCCAAACCCUGUGAACAUACCUAUGUUGCCUCGGCGGAUCAGCCCGGCUCGGCCGGUAUAACGGCGGCCCGCCGAGGACCCCUAAACUCUGUUUCUAUAUGUAAUCUUCUGAGUAAACCAGCAAAUAAAUC
rnacentral:misc_RNA from 1 species